GGAGUUACAGCUCAGUGGUAGAGCGCUUGCCUAGCAUGUAUGAGGCACUGGGUUUGAUCCUCAGCACCA
rnacentral:tRNA from 1 species